GCUUGCUGAAGCACUUAAAAAGGUUACUAUGUGAUUCAACCUUUUUUAUUUUAUGGUCUUUUGCUCUUGUUUCUUUUUGCUGAUUGGUAAUGAGGCUAGGAGUGGUGUUUGGAUCCAUUUAAGCCCUUAAAUUGCAAGAUAUAGUACACAUCUUCUUUUCAAAUAAAGAUUUGAAAUUAAGACCUUUGGUUCUUGGAUGUGUUAUAGAGUAGUGAUAAAAAUUGUGUUUAUAGACUUUAAUAUUGCUGCGUGCUACAGGAGAAUGAGAGAAAGAAAGAA
rnacentral:misc_RNA from 1 species